rnacentral:rRNA from 1 species
GGUCAAGCGAAUAAGCGCACACGGUGGAUGCCUAGGCGGUCAGAGGCGAUGAAGGACGUGGUAGCCUGCGAAAAGUGUCGGGGAGCUGGCAACAAGCUUUGAUCCGGCAAUAUCCGAAUGGGGAAACCCACUGCUUCGGCAGUAUCCUGCAGUGAAUUCAUAGCUGCUGGAAGCGAACCCGGUGAACUGAAAUAUCUAAGUAACCGGAGGAAAAGAAAUCAACCGAGAUUCCCUAAGUAGUGACGAGCGAACGGGGAGCAGCCCUUAAGCUGGAAUGGCUUUAGAAAAACAAUCUGGAAAGAUUGGCCAUAGAAGGUGAUAGCCCUGUAUUUAAAAGGGCCACUCCAGUGAAGACGAGUAGGGCGGGGCACGUGAAACCCUGUCUGAAUAUGGGGGGACCAUCCUCC